GCAUUAGUGGGGUAGUGGUAACCUGGGUCGUUGCCAUUUGCCUGAUCUCUAAAAAGUUAUCGACCCGCCGGGAGUUCGAUUCUCUCCUAAUGCA